ACCUGCACCCCUCACCUUUUAGCGUCGGGGGCCACCUCGCCUCGCACUCGGAGGGACUCUCCAGGUUUGAGAUUCAGGUUGCUGGCAACCAGACCCUGCGCAGACGAGAGAACAGGAUAGUUCUGGGACUGCGGCACCAGCUGUCCAAAGACUCCACUGGAGAAAA